AAUGAACGUUGGCGGCGUGGAUUAGGCAUGCAAGUCGUACGGGCCGCAAGGCCAGUGGCGCAAGGGUGAGUAAGGCGACGGUAACCAACCCCAUGACUGGGUAUAGCCGCGGGAAACCGCGGGUAAUCCCCAGCGACGUCCGGGGGGGGCAUCCCCCCGGGACCAAAGCUCCGGCGUCGUGGGACGGGCCGUCGUGGUAUUAGCUGGUUGGCGGGGUAACGGCCCACCAAGGCUGCGAUGCCUACCGGGCGUGCGAGCGUGGCCCGGCACACUGGGACUGAGACACUGCCCAGACUCCUACGAGAGGCUGCAGUCGAGAAUCUUCGGCAAUGGGCGCAAGCCUGACCGAGCGACGCCGCGUGGAGGACGAAGGUCUUCGGGUUGUAAACUCCUGUCGAGGGGGAAGAAGGCCCCGAAAGGGGCUUGACUGAUCCCUGGAGGAAGCACGGGCUAAGUUCGUGCCAGCAGCCGCGGUAAGACGAACCGUGCGAACGUUAUUCGGAAUCACUGGGCUUAAAGCGCGUGUAGGCGGGAUGGCACGUCGGUCGCUGAAAGCCCCCGGCUCAACCGGGGAAGUGGCGCCGAUACGACCACCCUGGAGGGACGUAGGGGGACCUGGAACUUCCGGUGGAGCGGUGAAAUGCGUUGAGAUCGGAAGGAACGCCCGUGGCGAAAGCGAGGUCCUGGACGUUUUCUGACGCUGAGACGCGAAAGCCAGGGAGCGAACGGGAUUAGAUACCCCGGUAGUCCUGGCCGUAAACGAUGGGCACUGGGUAGGGGGCUCGCCGAUGGGCUCCCUGUCGUAGGGAAACCGUGAGUGCCC
rnacentral:rRNA from 1 species